AGUCAAGUAAUUAAGUGCAUGUGGUGGAUGCCUUGGCAGUCAGAGGCGAUGAAAGACGUGAUAGCCUGCGAAAAGCUCCGGGGAGGCGGCAAAUAUCCUUUGAUCCGGAGAUGUCUGAAUGGGGGAACCCACCUACUUUAAGGUAGGUAUUGCAACAUGAAUACAUAGUGUUGCAAGGCGAACGAGGGGAAGUGAAACAUCUCAGUACCCUUAGGAAAAGAAAUCAAUUGAGAUUCCCUCAGUAGCGGCGAGCGAACGGGGAUCAGCCCAUUAAGUUAUGUGUGUUUUAGUGGAACGCUCUGGGAAGUGCGAACGUAGAGGGUGAUAUUCCCGUACACGAAAGGGCACACAUAAUGAUGACGAGUAGGGCGAGGCACGUGAAACCUUGUCUGAAUAUGGGGGGACCAUCCUCCAAGGCUAAAUACUCCUGACUGACCGAUAGUGAACCAGUACCGUGAGGGAAAGGCGAAAAGAACCCCUGUGAGGGGAGUGAAAUAGAUCCUGAAACCGCAUGCAUACAAGCAGUGGGAGCACCUUCGUGGUGUGACUGCGUACCUUUUGUAUAAUGGGUCAGCGACUUAUAUUCAGUAGCGAGGUUAACCGUAUAGGGGAGCCGUAGAGAAAUCGAGUCUUAAUAGGGCGUUUAGUUGCUGGGUAUAGACCCGAAACCAGGCGAUCUAUCCAUGAGCAGGUUGAAGGUUGGGUAACACUAACUGGAGGACCGAACCCACUGUCGUUGAAAAGCCAGGGGAUGACUUGUGGAUAGGGGUGAAAGGCUAAUCAAGCCUGGUGAUAGCUGGUUCUCCCCGAAAGCUAUUUAGGUAGCGCCUCGGACGAAUACCAUAGGGGGUAGAGCACUGUUUCGGCUAGGGGGUCAUCCCGACUUACCAAACCGAUGCAAACUCCGAAUACCUAUGAGUACUAUCCGGGAGACAGACUGCGGGUGCUAACGUCCGUAGUCAAGAGGAAAACAAUCCAGACCGCCAGCUAAGGCCCCAAAAUCAUAGUUAAGUGGGAAACGAUGUGGGAAGGCAUAGACAGCUAGGAGGUUGGCUUAGAAGCAGCCACCCUUUAAAGAAAGCGUAAUAGCUCACUAGUCGAGUCGGCCUGCGCGGAAGAUGUAACGGGGCUAAAACUAUGUGCCGAAGCUGCGGAUGUAUACUUUGUAUACGUGGUAGGGGAGCGUUCUGUAAGCCGAUGAAGGUGUGUUGAGAAGCAUGCUGGAGGUAUCAGAAGUGCGAAUGCUGACGUGAGUAACGACAAAACGGGUGAAAAACCCGUUCGCCGAAAGACCAAGGGUUCCAGUCCAACGUUAAUCGGGGCUGGGUGAGUCGACCCCUAAGGCGAGGCCGAAAGGCGUAGUCGAUGGGAAAAUGGUUAAUAUUCCAUUACUUCUGUGUAAUGCGAUGAGAGGACGGAGAAGGCUAAAUCAGCCUGGCGUUGGUUGUCCAGGUGAAAGGAAGUAGGCAUGUAUCUUAGGCAAAUCCGGGGUACUCUAUGCUGAGAUCUGAUAGCAAGCUGUACUUGUACAGCGAAGUGGUUGAUGCCAUGCUUCCAGGAAAAGUCUCUAAGCUUCAGUUACACAGGAAUCGUACCCGAAACCGACACAGGUGGUCAGGUCGAGUAGACCAAGGCGCUUGAGAGAACUCUGCUGAAGGAACUAGGCAAAAUGGUACCGUAACUUCGGGAGAAGGUACGCUGUUGUUGGUGAUGGAACUCGCUUCCUGAGCUGACGACAGCCGCAGAAACCAGGCCGCUGCAACUGUUUAUUAAAAACAUAGCACUCUGCAAACACGAAAGUGGACGUAUAGGGUGUGAUGCCUGCCCGGUGCUGGAAGGUUAAUUGAUGGGGUUAGCGUAAGCGAAGCUCUUGAUCGAAGCCCCAGUAAACGGCGGCCGUAACUAUAACGGUCCUAAGGUAGCGAAAUUCCUUGUCGGGUAAGUUCCGACCUGCACGAAUGGCAUAAUGAUGGCGGCGCUGUCUCCAGCAGAGGCUCAGUGAAAUCGAAAUCGCUGUGAAGAUGCAGUGUACCCGCGGCUAGACGGAAAGACCCCGUGAACCUUUACUGCAGCUUGACACUGAACUUUGACCUUACUUGUGUAGGAUAGGUGGGAGGCUUUGAAGCUGGAACGCUAGUUCCAGUGGAGCCGUCCUUGAAAUACCACCCUGGUAAUGUUGAGGUUCUAACUCUGUCCCGUGAUCCGGGACGAGGACCGUGUCUGGUGGGUAGUUUGACUGGGGCGGUCUCCUCCUAAAGAGUAACGGAGGAGUACGAAGGUGCGCUCAGCGUGGUCGGAAAUCACGCGUAGAGUAUAAAGGCAAAAGCGCGCUUAACUGCGAGACCCACAAGUCGAGCAGGUACGAAAGUAGGUCUUAGUGAUCCGGUGGUUCUGUAUGGAAGGGCCAUCGCUCAACGGAUAAAAGGUACUCUGGGGAUAACAGGCUGAUACCGCCCAAGAGUUCAUAUCGACGGCGGUGUUUGGCACCUCGAUGUCGGCUCAUCUCAUCCUGGGGCUGAAGCAGGUCCCAAGGGUAUGGCUGUUCGCCAUUUAAAGAGGUACGCGAGCUGGGUUUAGAACGUCGUGAGACAGUUCGGUCCCUAUCUACCGUGGGCGCUGGAAAUUUGAGAGGAUCUGCUCCUAGUACGAGAGGACCAGAGUGGACGAACCUCUGGUGUACCGGUUGUGACGCCAGUCGCAUCGCCGGGUAGCUAUGUUCGGAAGGGAUAACCGCUGAAAGCAUCUAAGCGGGAAGCCUACCUCAAGAUAAGAUUUCCCUAGGACUUUAUGUCCUCUAAAGAGCCGUUCGAGACUAGGACGUUGAUAGGUUGGAUGUGGAAGCAUAGUGAUAUGUGAAGCUGACCAAUACUAAUUGCUCGUGAGGCUUGACUAU
rnacentral:rRNA from 1 species